AGUGAACGCUGGCGGUAGGCCUAACACAUGCAUGUCGAACGGCAGCACAGUAAGAGCAUGCUCUUACGGGUGGCGAGUGGCGGACGGGUGAGGAAUACAUCGGAAUCUACUUUUUCGUGGGGGAUAACGUAGGGAAACCUACGCUAAUACCGCAUACGACCUACGGGUGAAAGCAGGUGAUCUUCGGACCUUGCGCGAUUGAAUGAGCCGAUGUCGGAUUAGCUAGUUGGCGGGGUAAAGGCCCACCAAGGCGACGAUCCGUAGCUGGUCUGAGAGGAUGAUCAGCCACACUGGAACUGAGACACGGUCCAGACUCCUACGGGAGGCAGCAGUGGGGAAUAUUGGACAAUGGGCGCAAGCCUGAUCCAGCCAUACCGCGUGGGUGAAGAAGGCCUUCGGGUUGUAAAGCCCUUUUGUUGGGAAAGAAAAGCAGCAGGUUAAUACCCCGCUGUUCUGACGGUACCCAAAGAAUAAGCACCGGCUAACUUCGUG
rnacentral:rRNA from 1 species